CCUACGGGGGGCAGCAGUGGGGAAUAUUGCACAAUGGAGGAAACUCUGAUGCAGCGAUGCCGCGUGAGGGAAGAAGGUUUUCGGAUUGUAAACCUCUGUCUUAAGGGACGAUAAUGACGGUACCUUAGGAGGAAGCUCCGGCUAACUACGUGCCAGCAGCCGCGGUAAUACGUAGGGAGCGAGCGUUGUCCGGAAUUACUGGGUGUAAAGGGAGCGUAGACGGCGAAGCAAGUCUGAAGUGAAAACCCAGGG
rnacentral:rRNA from 1 species